UACGAGAGGCCCAAACGUUAUUCGGAUUUACUGGGCUUAAAGAGUUCGUAGGCGGCGCAGAAAGUAGGGUGUGAAAGCCCUCGGCUCAACCGAGGAAUUGCGCCUUAAACUACUGUGCUAGAGGAAGCUAGAGGUGAGCAGAACUGAUGGUGGAGCGGUGAAAUGCGUUGAUAUCAUCAGGAAUACCGGAGGCGAAGGCGGCUCACUGGGGGCUUUUCUGAGCGCUGAGGGAA
rnacentral:rRNA from 1 species